rnacentral:rRNA from 1 species
UACCUGCAGCUCGAGUGGUAACCGCUUUUAUUGGGCCUAAAGCGUCCGUAGCCGGUUUGGUAAAUAUCUGGGUAAAUCGUGAGGCUUAACUUCACGAAUUUCGGAUAGACUGCCAGACUUGGGAUCGGGGGAGGUCAGAGGUACUCCAGGGGUAGCGGUGAAAUGUUGUAAUCCUUGGAGGACCACCGGUAGCGAAGGCGUCUGACUAGAACGAGUCCGACGGUGAGGGACGAAGCCCUGGGGCGCAAACCGGAUUAGAUACCCGGGUAGUCCAGGGUGUAAACUAUGUGGGCUUUGUAUUGGAGGUCCCACGUGGGCGUCCAGUGCAGAAGAGAAGUUGUUAAGCCCACCGCCUGGGAAGUACGGUCGCAAGGCUGAAACUUAAAGGAAUUGGCGGGGGAGCAUAGCAACGGGAGGAGCGUGCGGUUU